rnacentral:misc_RNA from 1 species
AAAUGAAUAGCUAUUAAUAUAAGUAUCAUCAAGACAAACAAAGAGAAUUUGUGUAGCACAUGUAGCUGAGAAAGAUUAGUAGGAAACAUUAAAUAUUGUUAAAAUUAGAAAGAGUUAUCAGUCCCCAUUCUCGAUCCUUCAUAAAGAAAGAAUAAUUAAAAAAAAAUUCCCUGCAUUUUUUAGAUUCAUAAGUUAUCCAAAUAAG